rnacentral:rRNA from 1 species
UUACAGCGGAUUACAGUUCUGAUUUGAAAAGAAAAAACAAGUUAAAACUUUCAACAACGGAUCUCUUGGUUCUGGCAUCGAUGAAGAACGCAGCGAAAUGCGAUAAGUAAUGUGAAUUGCAGAAUUCAGUGAAUCAUCGAAUCUUUGAACGCACAUUGCGCCCGGCAGUAAUCUGCCGGGCAU